CUACCUCCUCCUCUUCUUCUUCUUCUCUUCUUCUUCUCUUCUUCUUCUUCUAUGUGGAAGAUCCACACGUCCCCUCUUCGAUUUUUCCUCCCUUCCGCUAACCAUCUCUCUCCCUCUCUCACGUACACCGGAAAAGACUAGACUUUUGGUCAACAACGUGCAAAAUCCCUCUCUUUCUCUCCUUCAACCGAUGCAACCACCCAACACCCCUUGCACCGCUGAACUCACUGGAAAUCAAGGUCAAGGGAGAUGUCAUGGCUAUGGGCUGAAGCUUUGAGAAAAAGAGUAUGAAAAAUGAAAUGUGAGAUUUUAAACUUUGAUAGUGUGUAGGGUCUUUUUGUUUGUCUAUGCAUUUUCCAAAUGAAUUUUAGUACUUUUGAUUUUUCUAUUGAUAUUUUGUUUAUGGUUGCUAUUGAGUUGCUUUGAUUGAAGGAUAGAGGGAAGUGAUUAUUGAUAAUUAUAGGUAUGUUCUCUCUCCCUUUCUUACAAUAAGGAUAGUAGCAACAAAAAUUACUACAUGUUCUAUAUUGAAAGGAAAAACAAAAAAAUAAUGGUGAAUGAAGAUUUAUUUUGUAUGGUAGAAUUUUAUUUGUCACUUACCAUGCUAGAUCUUUCCAAGAGGAGUAAAUUUGAAAAUGUCGAAAUACACCCUCUGCUUGAAACAUAAACCGCGAUGUAUGUUAUACACAUUGGAAAUGUAUGAAUGUGUAUAUUGAAACUUAAGCCUAUACACUUUCCAAGAGAAUUUAUGUAUGUUAUCUAUUUGGUUUUUGGCUUUAACUUUUUGAAACUUAAGCCUAUACACUUUUUUUACCUCUACUUUUUAUCAACGUUUUUAAACUAUAUUUUCUUCCUAUGACUACCUUAUGACAUUUUGAAUAAUUGAUUGAAUUGAGGAUUAGCAUAAAGUUCUCUUACUUCAAGGACGUUGUCGUUAUUUGUUCAAGGCUUGAAGAAUCCUCGAGAGAGUGACAAUACUUGUUGAAUUUUUAUGAAAAUGCAACAUUGAAAAGGGUUGGAAGGGCUCCAAGGUUGAUGAGUUUCCAAUUUCAAAAGUCUACCUAAAGCUCUAUUGUUUGUUUAACUCAAAGGUAAAAAAAAGUAAAGUAUGUGGACUUGCACCGAAUAGAGCCAUGGAAUUGGUGCAAGGGUUUGAUCAAGAGGCUGCUGCAGUUGUUGUGGCAAGAUUAACUUCAUCAAAAAUGGAGAUGGAGGUUCAACCGGAGUCGACAACUUCAUUAGUUUUCUUUCAAAGAACAUUUUCAAAGACGAACAUUCUCGGUUGGUCGUUUAUGCUUCUGCAGAAAAUCUUGUUAGAUGUAUUCUAAUGCUAUUUAAAAUAUUUUUUGAUUAAGGGUUGGGAUUUCGUACUUGUAAAUUAUUGACACUUGAUUGGAAAUGUACGAAUAUUAUAAAUUGUAUUAUAUCGUAUAUAUAUUAAAGUGUUGGCUACUUUUUUCUA